GUAGGUGGCAAGCGUUGUCCGGAAUUAUUGGGCGUAAAGCGCGCGCAGGCGGUUCUUUAAGUCUGAUGUGAAAGCCCACGGCUCAACCGUGGAGGGUCAUUGGAAACUGGAGAACUUGAGUACAGAAGAGGAAAGCGGAAUUCCACGUGUAGCGGUGAAAUGCGUAGAGAUGUGGAGGAACACCAGUGGCGAAGGCGGCUUUCUGGUCUGUAACUGACGCUGAGGCGCGAAAGCGUGGGGAGCAAACAGGAUUAGAUACCCUGGUAGUCCACGCCGUAAACGAUGAGUGCUAAGUGUUAGGGGGUUUCCGCCCCCCUUAGUGCUGCAGCUAACGCAUCAAGCACUCCGCCCUGGGAGUACGGCCGCAAGGCUG
rnacentral:rRNA from 1 species